GAAACGUUAUGACACCACCCAAACCAUUUAGGCAAUGCAUACAUAAAGCUUUGUGGUGAUCCCAGUUGGCUGCAGCUUCAGCAAUUUUUUUCCUUUGAAAAAUACCUCCUCUUAGUGUCAACAACAUCAUCCCAGAGCCAGUGAGAGGCCAAAUGAAGUUACCUCAAAAUAAAGCGGACGUUUUAAAGCAUGUGUGUACAUGUACAUGGAAAUGCAUGGCAGGAAGAUAAUAGAGAAUGAGAGUGAACAACAUGGGGAACUCGUGAGGAAUGAGAGAUUAGAUCCGUGUUUCAACUUUGACAACUUUAAAAAGAGUGAACUUCAGCUUCUAGAGUUCCCUAGACAGAAUGGAGGGGAGAAUGAAAGAGGGUUACAAUGCAGCAAGCCACAACAUUUUGAGCCAUUCUCCAACUGCUUCUGCUGUACCAAUACCAUAGAGAAACUUGAAGGGAUUUUUUUUCUCCAUGGCUCUCAUCCUGAUCUACGAAAUUUAGUCCCAUUCUGUUCUGGUUUUGGGAGUUAUCUUUCUGCAAACAGAAUUCCAAGUUUCUUGUAUGUGCUCCAUUCUGGAUUCAGUAUUUUGAAUUGUUGCCCACCUCCUCUAAUAAAGGGAUGCAUUGGA